UAUGGCCAUAUCAUGAUGAAACAUUGGUUCCCAUACAAUCACCAAAGUUAAGUAAUGUUGAGCCUAGUCAGUACCUAGAUGGGUGACUGCUUGGGAAUACCAG